AGAGUUUGAUCCUGGCUCAGGACGAACGCUUGCGGCGUGCCUAAGAAAUGCAAGUCGAACGAGGACUUCGGUCCUAGUGGCGAACGGUCGCGUAACACGUAAGCAACCUGCCCUGAAGUGGGGGACAACAUCCCGAAAGGGGUGCUAAUACCGCAUGUGGUCACGAGUCGGCAUCGACUUGUGUCUAAAGAUUUAUCGCUUCAGGAUGGGCUUGCGGCCUAUCAGGUAGUUGGUGGGGUAAUGGCCUACCAAGCCGACGACGGGUAGCUGGUCUGAGAGGACGAUCAGCCGGAUUGGGACUGAGAUACGGCCCAGACUCCUACGGGGGGCAGCAAUUAGGAAUCUUGCGCAAUGGGGGAAACCCUGACGCAGCGACGUCGCGUGAAGGAUGAAGGCCCUCGGGUCGUAAACUUCUUUUGAGUGGGAAGAAAUUUGACGGUACCACUCGAAUAAGCCCCGGCUAACUACGUGCCAGCAGCCGCGGUAAUACGUAGGGGGCGAGCGUUGUCCGAAGUUACUGGGCGUAAAGCGCGCGUAGGCGGUUAUUUAAGUCUGGGGUGAAAGGUUCAGCGCUCAACGUGAACAGUGCCUUGGAUACUGGAUGACUUGAGUCUGGGAGGGGGAAGGGGAAUUCCUGGUGUAGCGGUGAAAUGCGUAGAUAUCAGGAGGAACACCGGUGGCGAAGGCGCCUUCCUGGCCUAAGACUGACGCUGAGGUGCGAAAGCGUGGGGAGCAAACGGGAUUAGAUACCCCGGUAGUCCACGCCGUAAACGAUGAGUGCUAGGUGUCGGGGGUAUCGACCCCCCCGGUGCCGUCGCUAACGCAUUAAGCACUCCGCCUGGGGAGUACGGCCGCAAGGUUGAAACUCAAAGGAAUUGACGGGACCCCGCACAAGCGGUGGAGCAUGUGGAUUAAUUCGUCACUAACCGAAGAACCUUACCCAGGUUUGACAUCGAGGGUAAGACCAUGAAAGUGGUACCUCUAGCAAUAGACCCGAAGACAGGUGUUGCAUGGCUGUCGUCAGCUCGUGUCGUGAGAUGUUGGGUUAAGUCCCGUAACGA
rnacentral:rRNA from 1 species